GAUGAACGCUAGCGGCAGGCUUAACACAUGCAAGUCGAGGGGUAACAGGGCUUCGGCCGCUGACGACCGGCAAACGGGUGCGGAACACGUACGCAACAUACCUUUAUCUGGGGCAUAGCCCGAAGAAAUUCGGAUUAACACCCCAUAGGAUUAUAGAGUGGCAUCACUUAGUAAUUAAAAAUUUAAUUGGAUAGAGAUUGGCGUGCGUCCUAUUAGCUAGUUGGCGGGGUAAAGGACCCACCAAGGCGACGAUAGGUAGCUGAUGUGAGAGCAUGAUCAGCCACACGGGCACUGAGACACGGGCCCGACUCCUACGGGAGGCAGCAGUGAGGAAUAUUGGUCAAUGGACGCAAGUCUGAACCAGCCAUGCCGCGUGAAGGAUGAAGGCGUUCUGCGUUGUUAAAC
rnacentral:rRNA from 1 species